UCUGACGUCGUAUUGGUCGUAGAGAAAUUGAUAAGUGCACCGCCUGGGGAGUACGGUCGCAAGGCUAAAACUCAAAGAAAUUGACGGGGGCUCACACAAGCGGUGGAGCAUGUUGCUUAAUUCGAAGCAACGCGAAGAACCUUACCCGGGUUUGACAUGCACGGAUUAGUAUCUGGAAACAGGUAUGAGGCUCGCAAGAGUACAACGUGCACAGGUGCUGCAUGGCUGUCGUCAGCUCGUGCUGUGAAGUGUUUGGUUAAGUCCAUUAACGAGCGCAACCCUUGUCGUUAGUUGCUAACAGGUAAUGCUGAGGACUCUAACGAGACUGCCGGCGUCAAGCCGGAGGAAGGUGGGGAUGACGUCAAGUCCUCAUGGCCCUUACAUCCGGGGUUGCAAACGUGCUACAAUGGCGCGUACAAAGCGACGCGAGGCCGCAAGGCGGAGCAAAUCGCAAAAAACGCGCCCCAGUUCGGAUUGAAGGCUGCAACCCGCCUUCAUGAAGUCGGAAUCGCUAGUAAUCGGAGAUCAGCUACGCUCCGGUGAAUACGUUCCUGAGCCUUGUACACACCGCCCGUCAAGUCAUGGGAGCCGGUAGAGCCCGAAGCCGCCACGAUACUGUGGUGUCUACGGCAAGAUCGGUGACUGGGACU
rnacentral:rRNA from 1 species